UACGUAGGGGGCUAGCGUUGUCCGGAAUCAUUGGGCGUAAAGAGCGUGUAGGCGGUCCGGUAAGUCCGCUGUGAAAGUCGGGGGCUCAACCCUCGAAUGCCGGUGGAUACUGUCGGGCUAGAGUGCGGAAGAGGCGAGUGGAAUUCCUGGUGCAGCGGUGAAAUGCGCAGAUAUCAGGAGGAACACCUAUUGCGAAGGCAGCUCGCUGGGACGUUACUGACGCUGAGACGCGAAAGCGUGGGGAGCAAACAGG
rnacentral:rRNA from 1 species